UUUAAAUGUGCUUAGUGUUCUCUAGUAGCUAGUAGAAUUAAUUAGUUUGCUCAUAUGCUUGGCCUUCACUUGCAAUCUUAAGUUCUGCAUGUUUCAUGUCCCCAUUUUAUCAGAUGGCCUGCUAGACUGAAAAUGAAUGUAUCCUGAUUGGUGGAUGUCAAACCAGUUCUCAGGAACCUCAGACAUUUCAAUGUUCUCAACAUAUUUCAAAAAUCUCAGCCAGGAAAUGGAUUAGACUCACCAUGUAUGCUGCAGCAAGCUGAGAAGAAUCCCAAAAUCCUGUCAACUUCGACAUGUCCAUCCAUCUCAAAACUGGAGCAGUGUCCAGUCUUCAUCUGUCCAGUUUCAGUGAGUCUGCUCCCAUGAUGGUUGCAGAUUGGAACCUCAUGUGGGCUUUCCUUUGUUGCAGUCCAUCUACUUCAAGGUUUGAUGUGUUGUGCGUUCUGUGAGUGCUUAUAUCUUUCCUGACAGCCCGAACCAAUCUGGUCAUUUUCCUCUGGUAUAUCUUCUCAACAAGGCACUUCCUCCUAUAGAACUGUUGCUCCAUUGAUUUUUUUUUUCCUUUGGAUAUUGUACCAUUUUGUAAAAACUUGAUAUAUACAUUAA